rnacentral:rRNA from 1 species
UACGAAGGGGGCUAGCGUUGCUCGGAAUCACUGGGCGUAAAGCGCACGUAGGUGGAUUGCUAAGUCCGCUGUGAAAGUCCAGGGCUCAACCCUGGGAUGCCGGUGGAUACUGUCGGGCUCGAGUCCGGAAGAGGCGAGUGGAAUUCCUGGUGUAGCGGUGAAAUGCGCAGAUAUCAGGAGGAACACCGGUGGCGAAGGCGGGUCUCUGGGCCGAUAUUGACGCUGAGGAGCGAAAGCGUGGGGAGCGAACAGG